ensembl:lncRNA novel transcript
AAAGCGCGUGUCUGCGUCGGGUUCUGUUGGAGUGCGUUCGGUGUGCCGUGGGUCCGCGCUGCUUCCACCCAACUUCCUGUUAGGACCCACCCGAGGACGGGUCACCAUGGCUUUGGAGCACCUGGUAGUGUGGCAUGUCCACAGUGAAGACCAGAGUUUCGUUGUCCUUAAGACUGACCUGGGGAGACGUGGCUGCAGGCCAUUGAGGAAGACGGCACCGAAAGCGAAGGAAGCUCCUGCUCCUCCUAAAGCCGAAGCCAAAGUGAAGGCUUUAAAGGCCAAGAAGGCAGUGUUGAAAGGUGUCCGCAGCCACACGCAAAAAAGAAGAUCCGCAUGUCACUCACCUUCAGGCGGCCCAAGACACUGCGACUUCGGAGGCAGCCCAGAUAUCCUCGGAAGAGCACCCCCAGGAGAAACAAGCUUGGCCACUAUGCUAUCAAGUUUCCGCUGACCACUGAGUGGGCCGGAAGAAGAUAGAAGAAAGCAACAUGCUUGUGUUCUUCGUGGAUGUUAAAGCCAACAAGCACCAGAUCAGACAGGCUGUGAAGAAGGUCUAUGACAGUGAUGUGGCCAAGGUCACCACCCUGAUUUUUCCUGAUAAAGAGAACAAGGCAUAUAUGUUCGACUGGCUCCUGAUUAUGAAGCUUUGGAUGUUGCAACAAAAUUGGGAUCAUCUAAACUGAGUCCAGCUGGCUAACUCUAAAUACAUGUGUAUCUUUUCACCAUAAAAGAAUAA